AGGCAAUGACCCAAAACACACUGCCGCCCGGGUUUGCAUUGCAAAUGAGGGCAUAAACUGGGUCAAGACGCCAGCAGAGUCUCCUGAUUUAAACCCGAUCAAACUUGUUUGGCAUCAACUGAAAACAUCAACAUUCAUCCGUAACUCUGCCAAGCCCGACAAGCAAAGAUGAACUGGUCAAGGCCAUCAAGAUGUUUUGGUUAGAGAAAUUGACGAUACAACAAUGCAAUAAAUACAUUGAUCAUCUCAGCAAGGUUUUACCUGUGGUCGUGGAGCUGGGUGUGACUAAAAUGUAGUUUAUAUAAACAUCCGCAUUUGAAUGUAUUUUAUUUUAUUAACCAAAGCAUAAAGAUGUUGCUGAAUAUAUACUGUACUGCUGUUUUGAGUUAGAAAUGUAACACUUUAGAGUACUUAAGCAUCGAAUACAUUGCAAGUUGAGUGAUUUUCACAACAGUUGCCGGGUUAUAACAAGUAUUUUGUCCUGCUAUUACGAAACAUUUGCAUAAUGGGCUGCACCUGCUACAGUUAUGAAAAACAAGUGUUUAAAAAUCUGUUUUCAAAAUGCCUUCAGUUGUCCAUCACUACUGUAAUUAAAAACACAGGAUCUUGUUUACAUUCUUUAUUGUGUCGCACACCAUUUGUAUCUACCUUCCAAUUACUUUUAGAGUUUGUGUUUUACAAAUGUGUGCUUUUAAUUAUUAGUUACAUUGUUUAAGUUCGAACGUGCAGACUUUUUUUCUUUAAACUAUUGUUUCAUGUAGGAUGCUACAUUUUUGACCAGUUGCAAUUGUAAGUAGGCCUAAUAAAGCCUCAUAGCCUACCUCAGCCAGUUAAGUUAUUUCAUAUAGGUCUAGGCUCUGAAGAAAUAGACUCCAAUUAAGACCUCACGUUGUUUGUGAAGUCAAAUAAAAAUGAAGAUAUUUGUUGAAAUGAA